rnacentral:rRNA from 1 species
GUCCACACGGUAAACGAUGAAUACUCGCUGUUGGCGAUAUACGGUCAGCGGCCAAGCGAAAGCAUUAAGUAUUCCACCUGGGGAGUACGCCGGCAACGGUGAAACUCAAAGGAAUUGACGGGGGCCCGCACAAGCGGAGGAACAUGUGGUUUAAUUCGAUGAUACGCGAGGAACCUUACCCGGGCUUAAAUUGCACUGGACAGGCUCAGAGAUGGGGCCCUUCUUCGGACCAGUGUGAAGGUGCUGCAUGGUUGUCGU